AUUAUUCUUAGUGGCGGACGGGUGAGUAACACGUGAGCAACCUGCCUCUAAGAGAGGGAUAGCUUCUGGAAACGGAUGGUAAUACCUCAUAACAUAAUCAUACCGCAUGGUGAGAUUAUCAAAGAUUUAUCACUUAGAGAUGGGCUCGCGUCUGAUUAGCUAGAUGGUGAGGUAACGGCCCACCAUGGCGACGAUCAGUAGCCGGACUGAGAGGUUGAACGGCCACAUUGGGACUGAGACACGGCCCAGACUCC
rnacentral:rRNA from 1 species